CUCCUGAUGGUGUAGUUGGUUCAUCACGUUCGGCUGUAAUUGGUUAAUUGAAACCGAAAGGUCCCUAGUUCGAUUCUGGGUCAGGAGA
rfam:Fonsecaea multimorphosa CBS 102226 unplaced genomic scaffold supercont1.39, whole genome shotgun sequence.